UACGUAGGUGGCGAGCGUUGUCCGGAUUUAUUGGGCGUAAAGCGCGCGCAGGUGGUUCGCUAAGUCCGGUGUGAAAUCUCCCGGCUCACCUGGGAGGGGGCGCUGGAGACUGGCGAACUGGAGGCAGGCAGAGGUCGGUGGAAUUCCCGGUGUAGUGGUGAAAUGCGUAGAGAUCGGGAGGAACACCAGUGGCGAAGGCAGCUCGCUGGAACGGUACUGACGCUGAGGCGCGAAAGCGUGGGGAGCAAACAGG
rnacentral:rRNA from 1 species